GGUAUAAAAAUAUAUUUUUAAAUAGUGUUUUGCUAAAAUAGUAUGAGGAAGAAAAAAUUAGGAUGUGAUCAAAUGAAAUAAGUACAUUCCAAAUGAAACAAAUUUGAGGACAUGGAAGAAGAGACUAUAUUGGGUUGGAAAACGAUGCUAAUGACGGAAGAUAACAAAUGCAGUAGUCCAUGUGUGGUAUUUUGCGCAAAAUGCUAAGAUUGACGGUAUCCACGACAAUGAAGAGAACUCAUAAAGGGAAGACAAUUUUUUCUUCUUUCAUUUAGAAAAUAUAAAUUAAAAUUAAAAAAUAUUUCAACGCGAUAUAUUUAAUUUUUUAUCAGCAAUUUAUUCCAAUAAAAUAUUUUUUUUAUUUAUGCCAAA